rnacentral:rRNA from 1 species
CCCGCACAAGCGGUGGAGCAUGUGGUUUAAUUCGAUGCAACGCGAAGAACCUUACCUGGUCUUGACAUCCACAGAACUUUCCAGAGAUGGAUUGGUGCCUUCGGGAACUGUGAGACAGGUGCUGCAUGGCUGUCGUCAGCUCGUGUUGUGAAAUGUUGGGUUAAGUCCCGCAACGAGCGCAACCCUUAUCCUUUGUUGCCAGCGGUCCGGCCGGGAACUCAAAGGAGACUGCCAGUGAUAAACUGGAGGAAGGUGGGAUGACGUCAAGUCAUCAUGGCCCUUACGACCAGGGCUACACACGUGCUACAAUGGCGCAUACAAAGAGAAGCGACCUCGCGAGAGCAAGCGGACCUCAUAAAGUGCGUCGUAGUCCGGAUUGGAGUCUGCAACUCGACUCCAUGAAGUCGGAAUCGCUAGUAAUCGCGGAUCAGCACGCCGCGGUGAAUACGUUCCCGGGCCUU